UACGGAGGGUGCAAGCGUUAUCCGGAUUUACUGGGUUUAAAGGGUGCGUAGGUGGGUAGGAAAGUCAGUGGUGAAAUCUUCGGGCUUAACCCGGAAACUGCCAUUGAUACUAUUUAUCUUGAAUACUUUGGAGGUAAGCGGAAUAUGUCAUGUAGCGGUGAAAUGCUUAGAUAUGACAUAGAACACCCAAUUGCGAAGGCAGCUUACUACGCUAUGAUUAUCGCUGAGGCACGAAAGCGUGGGGAUCAAACAGG
rnacentral:rRNA from 1 species